GAUGAACGCUGGCGGCGUGCCUAAUACAUGCAAGUCGAGCGAAGAGGGGACGGGUGAGUAACACGUGGAUAAACUCCUAUAUGACUGGGAUAACUUCGGGAAACCGGAGCUUAACCGGAUACUUUUAGCUGGAUGCGCUGUGCAUUAGCUAGUUGGUAAGGUAACGGCUUACCAAGGCAACGGUGCAUAGCAGACCUGAGCGGGUGAUCGGCCACACUGGAACUGAGACACGGUCCAGACUCCUACGGGAGGCAGCAAGAGGGAAACUUCCGCAAUGGGCGAAAGCCUUGCGGAGCAACUCCGCGUUGGAGAUGAAGGUCUUCGGGUCGUAAAACUCUGUUAUUAGGGAAGCGGUACCCAAUCAGAAAGCCACGGCUAACUACGUGCCAGCAGCCGCGGUAAUAC
rnacentral:rRNA from 1 species